GAUGAGGCCCAAAAGGCCGAAACGGUACCGUCUGUAGUUAGUUAUAUAUAUAUAUAUAUAUAUAUAUAUAUAUAUAUAUAUAUAUAUAUAUAUAUAUAACUACAGACGGUACCGUUUCGGCCUUUUGGGCCUCAUC